rnacentral:rRNA from 1 species
UACGUAGGGGGCAAGCUUUGUCCGGAUUUAUUGGGCGUAAAGAGCGUGUAGGCGGCCAGGUAGGUCUGCUGUGAAAACUCGAGGCUCAACCUCGAGACGUCGGCGGAAACCAUCUGGCUAGAGUCCGGAAGAGGAGAGUGGAAUUCCUGGUGUAGCGGUGAAAUGCGCAGAUAUCAGGAAGAACACCCGUGGCGAAGGCGGCUCUCUGGGACGGUACUGACGCUGAGACGCGAAAGCGUGGGGAGCGAACAGG